GGCAUCACCAUGGCGGCGGCUCAGAAAUUGCAGCGGCAGCGUGUUCUGCGACAGCGGAGGCAACGACUCUCAGUGUGACAACGGUAAAUCAACGGACGUUACUUUCCUCUGCCUCCCUUGAGAGUCGCACAUGCAAAGCUCCACCCGGCUCCUUUGCCCUCCUCCUCCGGCGGUGCUGCCGUCGCGAGCGAGCUUGGGAAAGGAUGCCAGGUCUCAGUUCUAUAUAGUAGGUCUAGGAUUAAGUGUAGGGAUAGGUCUAGACUUCCCUCCGUGGGGUAUGGCGUGAUGCCGAGUAGAAGCACUGCGUCGGCGCUUACGAGCGGCGCCGGACGCCGUUCAGAUUCGCUUACCGGCUGCUCUCCGUGGUGGAGAGAAGCCGCGGGAUGCGGAUCUGACUCCAGCUUCUCCAAUAAGCUCGAUCUCGUCCCUGAUUUCGAGGAUGGCCAUCGCUUAGUCCUAUCUUCUCGUUGCUGUCGUGGUGGUGGGAACGGAAAUAGGACGAGGUGCAGAGCAAAUUCCCUCGAUUGGGCUGGUGCAUAUUCUCGUCGGUGCCUGGGGUGGAGCUACGGCGUGCACUGUUGCUGCCGGUCUCUGCCGCCUCUCCGGCGACCUUUCUGGCCGAAUAGCGGCCCCGUGAAGCCAUGGUGUCUGCGUUGGCUUCGUUUCUUCCUCCCGGCUUGAUGCCUUUAGGGAGGCAGCUAUUCAGCUUCGGUAUGGAGUCUUCCUCUUCCGUCUUCUGCCGGAGAUGGAGUGGUGGCGGUCCGGUGAUCCCAAGUGGUUUUGUCCCCGGUGAUGGCAAGACUGGAUCUGUGCUAGAGUUGAUAUUUGGACUUGAUUGUAAUCUUGAUUCUCUGGAUAGGGUCCUCCUUGUAAGUUUCAGGGACUAUGAUGUAGUUUUAUUUUCCUUUGGGUCCUGGUCUGAGCUUUGUACUACAACUGCUGGGAAUUAAUGAAAGCUCCGGGUCCUUCUGGACCCGACCACUGUUCAAAAAAAAACAGCGGUAAAUCACAGAAGCAGCGGAGCAGACAUAGAGGCGGCGGUGGCAGCCCGCAGUUGGUGACGUGAGGCUGGUGACUCGGAGCUGUACGCGACGACUGUUUGCGACCACGGGUUUUAC
rnacentral:rRNA from 1 species